CCUUCGGGUGAGCGGCGGACGGGUUAGUAACGCGUGGGAACAUACCCUUUUCUACGGAAUAGCCUCGGGAAACUGAGAGUAAUACCGUAUAAGCCCUUCGGGGGAAAGAUUUAUCGGGAAAGGAUUGGCCCGCGUUAGAUUAGAUAGUUGGUGGGGUAAUGGCCUACCAAGUCUACGAUCUAUAGCUGGUUUUAGAGGAUGAUCAGCAACACUGGGACUGAGACACGGCCCAGACUCCUACGGGAGGCAGCAGUGGGGAAUCUUAGACAAUGGGCGCAAGCCUGAUCUAGCCAUGCCGCGUGUGUGAUGAAGGUCUUAGGAUCGUAAAGCACUUUCGCCAGGGAUGAUAAUGACAGUACCUGGUAAAGAAACCCCGGCUAACUCCGUGCCAGCAGCCGCGGUAAUACGGAGGGGGUUAGCGUUGUUCGGAAUUACUGGGCGUAAAGCGUACGUAGGCGGAUUGGAAAGUUGGGGGUGAAAUCCCAGGGCUCAACCCUGGAACUGCCUCCAAAACUAUCAGUCUAGAGUUCGAGAGAGGUGAGUGGAAUUCCAAGUGUAGAGGUGAAAUUCGUAGAUAUUUGGAGGAACACCAGUGGCGAAGGCGGCUCACUGGCUCGAUACUGACGCUGAGGUACGAAAGUGUGGGGAGCAAACAGGAUUAGAUACCCUGGUAGUCCACACCGUAAACGAUGAAUGCCAGUCGUCGGGCAGUAUACUGUU
rnacentral:rRNA from 1 species